UGAAUACGAGACGCUAAGGCGUCGAAGUAGUGUAUGUCAUACUUCCAAGAAAAGCUUGCACUGUCAUAGAUAAAAAACGCCUGUACCAUAACCGACACAGGUGGGUAGGUAGAGUAUACUAAGGGGCGCGAGAUAACUCUCUCUAAGGAACUCGGCAAAAUAACUCCGUAACUUCGGGAGAAGGAGUGCCUUAUUCGUAAGGUUGCAAUAACAAGAUCCAAGCAACUGUUUAUCAAAAACGCAGGUCUCCGCUAAGUCGUAAGACGAUGUAUGGGGGCUGACGCCUGCCCAGUGCCAGAAGGUUAAAGAAGUUGGUUAGCAAUUGCGAAGCUGAUAACUGAAGCCCUGGUGAACGGCGGCCGUAACGAUAACGGUCCUAAGGUAGCGAAAUUCCUUGUCGGGUAAGUUCCGACCCGCACGAAAGGCGUAAUGAUUUGGAUACUGUCUCGGAGAGGGGCUCGGUGAAAUAGACUUGUCUGUGAAGAUGCGGACUACCUGCACCAGGACAGAAAGACCCUAUGAAGCUUUACUGUAACUUGAAAUUGAAAUUGGACUUUAUUCGCGCAGUAUAGGUGGGAGGCGUUGAUUAUAAUCUUGUGGGAUUAUUGGAGCCAUCAGUGAGAUACCACUCUUGUAAUGUUAGAUUUCUAACUUUGAAUCAUUAUCUGGUCAAAGAACAGUUUCAGGCGGGCAGUUUGACUGGGGCGGUCGCCUCCUAAACGGUAACGGAGGCGUACAAAGGUUUCCUCUGAACGGUUAGAAAUCGUAUCUAGAGUGUAAAGGCAUAAGGAAGCUUGACUGUGAGACCUACAAGUCGAGCAGGGACGAAAGUCGGUCUUAGUGAUCUGACGGUACUGAGUGGAAAGGCCGUCACUCAACGGAUAAAGUUACUCUAGGAUAACAGGCUGAUCUCCCCCAAGAGUUCACAUCGACGGGGAGGUUUGGCACCUCGAUGUCGGCUCAUCGCAUCCUGGGGCGGUAGUACGUCCCAAGGGUUGGGCUGUUCGCCCAUGAAAGCGGUACGCGAGCUGGGUUCAGAACGUCGUGAGACAGUUCGGUCCAUAUCCGGUGUAGGCGUUAGAAUAUUGAGAGGAGCCUUCUUUAGUACGAGAGGACCGAGAAGGACAUACCUCUGGUGUACCAGUUAUCGUGCCAACGGUAAACGCUGGGUAGCUAUGUAUGGAGUGGAUAACCGCUGAAAGCAUCUAAGUGGGAAGCCCACCUCAAGAUAAGUAUUCUCA
rnacentral:rRNA from 1 species